GUUGUCUUGGUGUUUUAUCAGGGCUAUAGAAACGUGAGUAGGACUCUGUGCCUCUGGGAAUCUAGCAGACUGCAGACUGGUGGCCAGGAGCUGGUGGCAGGGAGGGUGGAGGUGGAUGGAGAGGCAUGGGGAGUCUCCAGUCUGAGGCUACCACAUGAGGCACGGACUUCUCUGGACCUGGAGGACAGGAUUCAGAGGCCAGGAUGCUAGGGGGAUAGACUUCUGCCUGGGCCAUGCUGGUUCUGUGAAGAGAUUUUUCCCUGUGCCAAGCAUGGCCAGCUUUUUGACAUGGCCAUGACAUACAAAGUUCACGCUGAGAACUAUGCAACGGAGUUACAAAAUUUUUUCCUUCAAAAACUAUCUUUCUGAUCUUUUGGAGUUCUGACCCGAGCUGCUGACCCAGAAGAUGAAAUGAGAAGAUAGACUGGAAAGUUCAUUCCGGCUUAAUCCAGGUGGAAUUUCAUCAGAACUCCUGGAGAGUUUGACAGCAGCGUACCCGGGAGGGAGCUGGGGCGGGAGGAGAGGCUCUUCCCCAGGAAGUGAUUAGCCAGGCAGACCUGUUGUCCUGUGGAGGAGCACGUUACCCGGCGGAUGUAAUUACCCAUUCGCUCUGUUAUUAGCUGGGGUAAGAGAUUGAGGCUCUCGCCCUACUCCUGCAUUUCAAAGCUUACUCACACGCCCGCAUCCCUGAUAUUAAAGCACAAUGAGACUUUUUUGAAUUCAAUUAA